UACGGGGGGAGCAAGCGUUGUUCGGAUUUACUGGGCGUAAAGGGCGCGUAGGCGGCCAGCACAAGUCAGUUGUGAAAUCUCCGAGCUUAACUCGGAAAGGUCAACUGAUACUGUGCGGCUAGAGUGCGGAAGGGGCAACUGGAAUUCUUGGUGUAGCGGUGAAAUGCGUAGAUACCAAGAGGAACACCUGCGGCGAAGGCGGGUUGCUGGGCCGACACUGACGCUGAGGCGCGAAAGCCAGGGGAGCGAACGGG
rnacentral:rRNA from 1 species